rnacentral:rRNA from 1 species
CCCUUAGAUGUUCUGGGCUGCACGCGUGCUACAAUGGCGUUUCCAGCAAGUCUGCGAACCCGAGAGGGCCAGCGGAUCUUCGAAUUGGCGUCGUGAUCGGGACAGUCGAUUGCCAUUAUUUGACUCAAACGAGGAAUUCCUUGUAAUCGCGAUUCAUCAUAUCGCGCUGAAUACGUCCCUGCCCUUUGUACACACCGCCCGUCGCUCCUACCGAUUGAGCGAUCCGGUAAAUGUUUUGGAUUGGUGCCGGGGCGGCUAGCUGCCGGUCGCUACGAAAUUUUGUGAACCUUAUCGCUUAGAGGAAGGAAAAGUCGUAACA